CAUCUGUACAAUCUGAGUCCAGCCGCGAGAGGACGCCUCGUGGAGGGCCGUGUAGCCCGCAUUGUCUCGCCGAUUCACUUCCCUGAUGUCUUUGUCUAGACAGUACUGCACCACUUCCUGAUAAAACAACCCCCCAAAGAAGCAACGUUUCCCCAGCGUUUUUAUUGACGAUCAGCCGUCGCACCUCCGGAGGAAUUGGACGUUUGGCAGGAGUCUCCGGGCUGCUGUUUUUCCCUGACGAGCUCCUUUUGCCAGACGGAGACGAGGGCACACUCUUGGAGAGGGGCGGGGGGCUGCUGUUCUCUGUGAUUGCGUCCUCAUCCAGAGCUGCGGGGACGCCACGUUUGCCCAAGCUGCCACGCUUGGUCUUCGUCUAAAAGGAGAGUGAUGACUCAAGUCAAAUGGAAUGCAUUGUGAUUUCGUUCAAUAGGUAAAGAAAUAGACGGAUUGAAAAAAGACAGACAUUGAGCCACCUGGGGGCACUGUUGGAUUAUAUAUCGUAUUCAUCAAACAGCUGCAUUGAGAAAUACGAACGUAAACGGGACUUGGAAUGCAACCUAAGUUGACCUGCGUCCCUGCAGCCUUUGGGAAGUCAAACUACAAUAUCAAGGAUGUUCUGCUUUUAUUUUUAAGUACAUGUGUGUCAGCAAUGCACGCAAGCAAGAGCAGCGACUUGGCUUCAAUUUAAAUAUAUUGUUGGUGUAAUCAAGGACCAUCCUGGCAAUUACUUUAAUAAUAACAAUAAUAAUAACAAUUCCAACUUUGGUCCUCAUGUUAGGAACAAUCAUGUUAUUUUAUAUGUUAUUUCAUUUUAUUCUAUUUGCUGCACAGUGGAGCGAAGGGAGAAAUUUGCUAUCGUUAUGAUUUGGUAUUCAUCAGAUGGUAAUGGUAAUACAUGGAGAUUUGACUUGCGCCAUUUUGAUUUGACUAUUCUUAAUUGUUUUCACCAAUUUUGAAUUGUAAUUUUCUAAUUAAUAAUAUAAUCCAAUUCACUUUAAUUGAUUUUUCUUUGUUCUUGAUUUUUUUGUCCACCUUUUAUUUCUUCUGAUACCAAACAACCUUGAAAACCAGCUUUAUUUUCCCAUGUCAACUUUCCUCAGUUUCCAUAGAAAAAAUACAUUUUUCUCUUUACAGAUAGAGUAAACCCA